rnacentral:rRNA from 1 species
AUUGAACGCUGGCGGCAGGCUUAACACAUGCAAGUCGAGCGGGGGAAGGUAGCUUGCUACCGGACCUAGCGGAGGACGGGUGAGUAAUGCUUAGGAAUCUGCCUAUUAGUGGGGGACAACAUCUCGAAAGGGAUGCUAAUACCGCAUACGUCCUACGGGAGAAAGCAGGGGAUCUUCGGACCUUGCGCUAAUAGAUGAGCCUAAGUCGGAUUAGCUAGUUGGUGGGGUAAAGGCCCACCAAGGCGACGAUCUGUAGCGGGUCUGAGAGGAUGAUCCGCCACACUGGGACUGAGACACGGCCCAGACUCCUACGGGAGGCAGCAGUGGGGAAUAUUGGACAAUGGGGGGAACCCUGAUCCAGCCAUGCCGCGUGUGUGAAGAAGGCCUUAUGGUUGUAAAGCACUUUAAGCGAGGAGGAGGCUACUCUAGUUAAUACCUAGGGAUAGUGGACGUUACUCGCAGAAUAAGCACCGGCUAACUCUGUGCCAGCAGCCGCCGUAA